AUUGAACGCUGGCGGAAUGCUUUACACAUGCAAGUCGAACGGCAGCACAGACUCCGGUCUGGUGGCGAGUGGCGAACGGGUGAGUAAUGUAUCGGAACGUGCCCAGUCGUGGGGGAUAACGUAGUGAAAAUUACGCUAAUACCGCAUACGAUCUAUGGAUGAAAGCGGGGGAUCGCAAGACCUCGCGCGAUUGGAGCGGCCGAUAUCAGAUUAGGUAGGUGGUGGGGUAAAGGCCCACCAAGCCAACGAUCUUUAGCUGGUCUGAGAGGACGACCAGCCACACUGGAACUGGGACAAGGUCCAGACUGCUACGGGAGGCCGGAGGGGGGGAUUUUGGACAAUGGGCGAAAGCCUGAUCCAGCCAUUCCGCGUGCAAGAUGAAGGCCCUCGGGUUGUAAACUGCUUUUGUACAGAACGAAAAGGUUUCUACUAAUACUAGGAGCUCAUGACGGUACUGUAAGAAUAAGCACCGGCUAACUACGUGCCAGCCGCCGCGGUAA
rnacentral:rRNA from 1 species